CUUGGCGGCACUAGCGCGGUGGUCCCACCUGACCCCAUGCCGAACUCAGAAGUGAAACGUCGUAGCGCCGAUGGUAGUGUGGGGUCUCCCCAUGUGAGAGUAGGGAAUCGCCAGGC
rnacentral:rRNA from 1 species